rnacentral:lncRNA from 1 species
UCUCACCUUCCCAAACUCAAAGAUGACGAACCCUAACGCCGCCCUUAAAGUCAGCCAUUUUUACCGGCGGCACCACCUCUGACCGGCCCCAAAUCAACAUUCCAAAAGCCUCACACCCUCCUCUCUUCCAAUCUCUAAUUAUUCUCCUUCGAAUCACCCUAGGUUCUUUCGAAUCUUGAAUCUAAGUUCAAGCAUUCAAAGCCAAAACCAAUUUUGUGCAUGCAAAGCUAUCUCUCCGAAUUUACCGAGUGGUCAAGGCUUGGUUUAUCACAGAAUAAUGUUAUUCGCUUGUUCUUGACAAAGAACAUGCGAUUGACAAUAUUUUUGGGUUAAAUCAGAACAUUUCCAGUGAUUUCAAAUCUAAUUGGUGAGUUUUUCUUAGUCGUUUUGUUCGUUCUUGUUGUUUCACCUCUUAUUCUUCUUCUUCUUUUUCUUUUCCGUGUAUUUGAGCCUUCUUCUGACUGAAAUUAGUUUCGAACCUAGUUUUUUCCCUUUAGGUUCAUCUGUUUAUUUGUAUUUAUUUCCCUUCAUUUUUAGUUUUUUUCUUCUCAAUUUCAAAUAGUUGUGCCCUGAUUUUGUUUGUCCAUUUUUGUUUAGUUUUAGGUUUUAAAUUUUUGAUUUUUUCCCCUCCUUUCUCUCACUAAUUUUAUACAUUAUAGCAUUUUCUAUUUUCAUUUGUUUAGUUUUUAUUUGUUCCUUUUUCUUUGUUUGACUGAUGAUCUUUAGUACUCAAUUUCAAUUCUAAGUUUGAUUAGUCAAAUCUAGUUCAUUCUUAAAAUCAGAAGUGUUUGAGUUUGCCCUCCAGUUUUGGAUUUAUUCUUUUUCUAUGGUUUCGUUUAAUCAUUUCUGAGUAUUCAAGACUCUCAUAGUAACUAUGGUCACUACUGACCUAGUUGAGAGGCUGGUUUAUUUGACCUUAGUCUAACUUAACCCAAGUUAAUAAUUGAAGAGUAAAUAAUAGGGGUUUUAAGGGUAAUCUAAGAAAUCUAAGUAAGGAAUCUCUCAGUAACUGAAUUAGGAAGCUUCCUAGAAGUUGUUAUUGGGACCUAAAUGAAAACUGAUUUUUUGAGCUAAGGUUACUUAAACAAAAACAAAAAUUUCAAAAGGAUUAAGGUGCAAAACUAAAUGCAUUUCUGCAGCCCUAAAACCUUGCCUAUAAAGGCACCUUUUCUUUAAGCUCAAGUCCGAAAAGGGGGAGAAAAAAAACUUCUAAAAAUUGAAAUGGCUGAGUUACUUUCUUUCAAUGAAAAAUACUAAACAUGGCUAGAACUUCUGCUUGAUUUCGAGUUUUAAUUUCCUAAGGAUAAGUCAGAAUUCCAAAAAGCUCAGUAAAGAUAGUGCAUUUUGGGUUUUUGAUUGCUGGAAUGGGUUCAAGAAUCUGAAGCUUGAUUUACUGGUCUUAGCACUGUUUCAUUGUUGGUUCUGUGCUGGUUUCUGCUGCUGUCAUUGCUGAUUUCUUCAUUUUUGUUUCUCUUUUAUUCCCAGGCAUGCCUUUGAACCAUUGAAUGGCAAGUGAGGUUGUAGAUAUGGCUUUAUGUAUGGAAAACAUGAAAUUUGGUAAAAAAUACAGCUGAUUUUGUUUGUAUUUGAAGAUUAAUCUACAUAGGCUUAUAUGAGCUAUUUAAAUCUUGUUUACUGUAGUUUUAGAUUUCUGUUAUGGUUUUGGAUAAGUGCUCUUUUCCAUUUGCUUAGUAAAAAAUGAAUUUGAAGUUUCUGAUCACAUGUAUAAGUGGUAGAGAACUAGUGCUAUAGAAAUUUCAAUAGAUUUGAGCAUGUUUAAGGUCUGUUUUGGCCUAUUGAAACCAGUGUUGUAGUGUGAAUCUACUUGAACUUGUUUUAGAUUGAUGCCCCCAG